UUAGAAUUAGUGGUGAAUAAUUAUCAGAAAUGGAAAAACCCUAAAAGACAUUCCUCUCCCAAUUCCAAUUUUCUCAGCUGCACCACCCUUGUCUUUCAAUUUCCCCAGCGCCAGCUCUCAUCUUCCUCAUCAACAAAUGAGCUCACCACCACACUGCUACCAGUAGCUCCAUUUGAACCUAACCAGGAAACAACCCCUAAUUCUCUCCCUCACACCACAGUCCCGCCACCAUCCUUGCCGGAGAAGACAACGGAGAACCAAGCAACUACCAACAUCUCCUUCACUCUGAUCUAGCUUUGACGAAUGGAGCAACCAAAUGACCCCUAACCCUUUCUACCUCACUCAAUGUAACCCAUAAGAAGAUCGCAUAACCACCAUGAGCUAGACCCUUGAAGAGAUUCGACCUCCAAGCUCUGUAAAAUCCCAAUGUAUAAGCAAGCUCAGCAACUCAAACAACAACGCCAACUCCAGUGAAAAACAACCAGCAAUCAGGAGCUUCGAGCUCCAACGAUCAACAACAUUUUGCCUUCAUUCUCCUCACUCCGGUGAAAUUAGCUAGCCCUUUCGGUACCCAGAGUUUCUCCCCGAGGAAGCUAUUCAAAUUAAAUUCGAAUAAUUUUUAUUCCAUUAUUGUGUAUAUUAUCGACGUUAGGCAAAUAUUAGGCCAUUUAUUAUAGUAUUGUUUCACUUUAUUUUUGUGUGUAUUUUAUUGUUUAUUAUACUUGUUAUUUAAUUUAUCGCCUCAAUUUGAAAAAAAUAAAUUCAGUCGGGACCCACAGUUGUGGAUUCCAAAGGGUGCUAAAAUCUUUUCUUCGGGAUCACUUGAAUCCCUUACCUAGAAUCUAAUGGUUUUGUAGAUUAUUUUGUUAAUUAAUUGGUUUCCUAAUUAUCCUAAACUUA